rnacentral:rRNA from 1 species
UACGGAGGGUGCAAGCGUUAAUCGGAAUUACUGGGCGUAAAGCGCACGCAGGCGGUCUGUCAAGUCGGAUGUGAAAUCCCCGGGCUCAACCUGGGAACUGCAUUCGAAACUGUCAGGCUAGAGUCUUGUAGAUGGGGGUAGAAUUCCAGGUGUAGCGGUGAAAUGCGUAGAGAUCUGGAGGAAAACCGGUGGCGAAGGCGGCCCCCUGGACAAAGACUGACGCUCAGGUGCGAAAGCGUGGGGAGCAAACAGGAUUAGAUACCCUGGUAGUCAACGCCGUAAACGAUGUCGAUUUGGAGGUUGUGCCCUUGAGGAGUGGCUUCCGGAGCUAACGCGUUAAGUCGACCGCCUGGGGAGUACGGCCGCAAGGUUAAA